GAGCUUCUUUAAUAGCUACUCUCGUUGCACAGUGAACCGAAGCUGCUAGAAGCAAUGGAGGCUCACCGGAAGCUGAAAAAUAAAAACAUAGUAUUCAACGAUCAACCUUGGUGUUUGUGAGUUUUUCCACCAUUCACAAUUUUGCUUUCUCUUUAAUCGAUAUUGCUAUGUUAGAAGUUUACAUCUUCUCAUGCACACCGAUUAUUGUUCAAAUAUUUACAUAUUGUUUUGAUUAUCGAGAUGUGAUAUUCCUAACCUGGUUUUGAUAUCAACUCACGUAAGACAAUAAGAGUUUAAGAUAAAACUUAGAGAAGUUUUAUUAAGAAUCAAACUUAGAGAUCUCGGAUUUCAAUAAGCAAAGCAAUAUCCCAAUAUUUAGAUAGUAAUCAUAAAUGGUUAUUUAAUAACUAAGGUGGAGUACUUUGUUUAUAAACUAAAAUAGAAUCGAAAUAGAAAUUCUUAAAAUCUAUCUAAGAAUUAUACGAAGUAGGAAAAUAAACUAAUUAAAUAGAAUAACUUAUAGUAGAAAAUAACUAAAUAGAAAAUAAUAAAUCAAUUCUAAUCGGAUACUAGUUCCUAAAUAACCUAGAUAAUUUAAUAAUGCAUAAACAUUACAAUUAUAUAAAUAUAUUUCAUUAUAGAAUUAUGUUCAUUAAAGGUAAAGAUCCCCCGGUUUUGUAUCAAUAAAUCACACGACAAAAACUUUCAUCAAAAGCAAUAAGAACCGUAUUGAUUAAAUUAACAUAAACUCUCAUGUAUGUCAAUGCAAAAUACCUUUUGAAGAGAGGACACAUUUCUGGUGAUUUCCACUAUUCAGUAAUUCAACAUUGAACUGCCUAGGUAUGGUAUCCACGGUAGGAAUUUUAUACUUCCAUGUGCCUUCAGGAACGACUAGUCCAUCUGAGUUUGUGAUAUAUUCUUCAAGCAUAAAAAAUCCGAUUCCUUGGACAAAAGCACCUUCAACCUGCACAAGGAAACUUUUAACAUAAAACAAUCUAGGAUAAUUUAAUUUGAUAUUUGAGAUGAAAAUGUUAGCGGUAGAACCCUGUCCUCAGCAUGCAUUAUCUUAGCAUGCUUGAACUGCAAAGCUGGCGAGAAACAAACGACAACAACAUCAAAAUUUUGAGUUAAGCCGGAAGAUACGCCAAAUUUAUCAUUCUUACCUGUCCUAGAUCCACAGCUGGAUUAAGGCUUUUGCCACAAUCAUAAAUGAUAUCUGCUUGCAAAAUCGUGACUGCUCCUGUCAAAAGGUCUAGUUCUACCUGUUCAUGAUGUCGUAGCUUCACAUUUAGUUCUUUCUGAAGGAUAUUUGAUAUGAAAAGGUUGUUUUUUCUAAAGUAGUGUAACAAGAAUCAGUGGCGUUGACCAUGUUCAAUAAGUGAGCUCCAAAUUUAAUUGAUAGAAAGAAAUUUUGAUGUCCAAACAAUAACUAAAACGAAGCAACAUUAAUCAAAUACCAAAACUUACCUCACUCACGGCAGCACCAUAGUUUAGGUAUGCCUUGGAAUUAAUUUCUGGAACAUAGUAAGAACUUGCCGAUAAAUUAGUGCUCUGUGCAUAUGCCUGCAUAAUGAUAGAUAAUACGAGUAAAAUCACAAAGUUCACCUUAGCCUCGUCAAGAAUACAUAUACCAAAAUGAUGGACGUUAGAACCUGUAGACAUUGAUAUUGUUAGAAUACAAUAUAUAUAUCCCUGUAACCCAUGAUUGGGCCUGCUUCUCCACACCCAUGGGCAAUCCACUUGCAUAUGAGGGAAAACAUUAAAAACUCAGAAUAAAAUAAGUGGGGUUUUCUUGUUUGCUUGACCUUGUGAGUACUAUUAGUCAUCUCACUUUAUUAUUUAAUAUUGUUUCAAAGGUUAAGGUAUUGAGCUCAAACUGUCUGAAUCUCAUUCAUGUAGGACAGAAAGUUUUAACACAAAAUUAAAAAGAAAAAUCAACAAAAAAUUGAGAGGCAUCAAAUUUCAAAUCAUCUCAAUUUCUCAAUAAUGUGAGAAUUAUACAUCUGCUUCAAGUUCAUAGGCCAACAGUUUUAUAACAUCUGCUCAUCCUCAAGAUUUUAAAUUAUCUACCAGAUCCAGUAAACUAAGUCUGAGUUUUCUAGAUAUGCAAUCUUAUUGAAUUAUAAUUGAAAUAGAAUAAAGUAUUGUAAGGUUUAUAACUUAUUGAAUCAUAAAUAAGGAAAGAGGGUUGGAUUAACCCCGAAAAAAGUGAUCCAAAAAUGGAUUUGACCUAAAGUUUCAGGGUAUGUCCGACCAAAGAUUUUACCCACAUAAUAGUGAAAUCCUGCAAAUAAAGCAAAAAUGGCUCCAUAGAAAGUACAUCAUGGAAAUGUGCAACCACAUAAUAAGUAUCAUGGAGAGCAAUGUCUAGCCCAGAAUUUGCUGGGACUAUUCCAGUGAGUCCUCCUAUGGCAAACAAAAAGAUGAACCCUAAGCAAAUAACACAGGUGUUUUGUAUUGUAUUAAUGUCCCAUGAAGAACUUGUGCAGUAUUUAUAAGGUAAUGGGACAGAGCCUAAAAAUAGAAUAUGCUAACCCAAAAAGAAAACUAACAAAGUGGCAAAAACAUAAUAUGGAAGCUUUAUUACAAUAGCCUGCUAAUUAUAUUGUAACAAUAAUCCAUAAUUAAACAGACAAUAGCAAGAUUUGUGACCAAACUAAUACAAGUUCAUUGGUACAUCUACUAAGUAUGAAGUAAGGGUAAUGCAUCAGACGAUGGGAACUUAAGGGCUUCCAGUCCCUCAGUUAAGAAAUUAAUGAAGUAUGCUAGAGAGUUCAGAAGUUUAAAUGAAAUACCUGUCUGAUCAAGGUGUCCCAAUUUACAGCACCGACUUCCUUUAGCAAUUUUUCCUUGAGAGGGAGAAGCCUCUCAACCAAGAUAUUGCAACAAAGUCUAAUGGCUUCACAGCAUGACUCAGAUGCUGUGCUUCCACCAGUAAUACCCCCUUGAAUCAUGCUUAAUGUAUCUGCUUGUACAACCCGUACUUUGUCUAACAGGUGGUUUUCUAUUGCAUCACAUUGGAUCAAACUGAGUCCAUAGGCAGCCAUUUGUUUUACUUUGGUCCAGAGUCCUUGGCCAAUUUCAAUGCCUCCCACCUCAACAACAACUGACCCAUCACUUAGAAUGCUUACCUUGCCUGGUUUGUUAAACUUUUUGACUUCAUGCACAAUGGGUACUCGAGAAAUACCUCUUUUUUGCCAUAUAUUGCACCUAUUGAACUCUUUGAUCAUUUCAGUCCUUUCGCUGAAGCUUGAAGACAUGGCCAAUUUAUCCCAUAUGCAAGGUAAAGUAUACUCCUGGAAUUCGCCAGCACUACCCUCAUAAAAUAUUUUAAGGCUGUCGAAUGUGUGGAGAUUAAUUUUUCUAACAGAAUCUACCUCAAUGGAAAGGGUAGAUGCAACAUGUUCAAUAACAGCUUCAGCAAUAUAUGAUCCCUGUAGCUCCCCAGGAGCUCGCAUUGUUGAUCUGCCUGGAAGGUUUGUUUUGCACACCUUUAUGUCAAAAGAUAGAGCACCCCAGUUAUAUUUUUUAAGUGCAUUUAUAAUGUUAUGUGGCAUAAGAAUUGGACUUAUAAUGGCAGCCAUCCCUGCAUCGAUUAAUAUAUCAAGUUUUAAAGCCGUAAUUUUUCCAUCAGAUCUGAAUCCCACACUGUAAGUUAUUUUCAUGGGAUGUCUUCCUCCUGCCAUUAUCAUAUCAGUUUUACGAUUGACAUAUAUCCUGACUGGACGCCGUAAUUUGUGUGCAGCCACUGCACAUGCUACAGCUACCUGAAAUCAUGUUCUGAGUUAUAAUAGUUUCACCAGGUAGAUUAUAAAAAUGAUAGAAAAGCUACAAUUUGUUCUAUCCUAUUCUAUUCUCAUUUAAAUCCUAUAUUUUAAUUACUUAACAUGUAAAAGUUAGUCAUAAUUUACAUAUUUGAUACAUAAUUAAAUUAACUUCAUUCAUAUCUUCAGUUCACAACUAUGAAUUUUGUAUUCCCAUCUAUUAAGCAAAAAAUCAUAAAGCCACCUAUUUUGAGUUCAUCUUGGAAUUAUAAUACAAUUUUUUAUUUAAAUUUGUAUGUUAUUUUCAUUUCUAUUUCAUAAAUUACAAUUUGAACUAAACUUAAUGAAAUAGUUGAAAAAUGACUAAAAGGUUUCAAACUAAUGAAAAAAUAAAAGAAAAUCAUUUAUGCAUUUUAUAUGGUUACAAGAUAUCACGUGUAAAAUAUGUGUAUUGGAGGAAAACUUGCCUUCAGUAGUCUAUAAAGGACAAGAUAAUAGGGAACUAGGAGAAGUAUAAUAGGCAAGACUGGGAAAGGACCAUAAUUUUAGACUACAAAAUUUUUAUAUUCGAAUACAGGGUCAACCACCAUUGGCUCAGCAAAAUUUUAGACUCAAAUUAUACCCCAAAUGUUUAAGGAAAAGCUGCUAAAACUGAUCGACUUGAACCUUUAUAUGUGAUCGUUGGCUUCAUUAAUCACAUUGUACCUCAUGGAGCUAAGUAAAAGAGGGAACUGAGAGACCUUGUGGAGGCUGGUGAGAACAGAGGCUAGAGGCUGGGAUUCAACAUGAAGUCUAGACUGGUGGAUCUGAACUGUGAUGUGGCAAUGGCUGUCCAGUGUAGGACAACUUGCACUGAUGUAGCACCACGAAAUAGAUAAAUAGAAAAACAGGUAGAAACAGAAAAUGUAGUCCACAAUUCAAACCACAAUAACAAGGUUGGUAAGCACUCAAUAAUGAGACUAUAUCUGAAGUGAGACCAGCAGGUGAAGUCUAGGUAGUAGUAUGUUCAAAAGUAUUAUGUAUUCUAAAGAUCAUUAAAUCAAAGAAAUCUUCCCUCUACUUCUUCCAUUAAACAAACAAACAAAGAGGAAAGCUAUUGAUAUUUUCUCAAAUACCUUACGCAGCAACUAGUAGGUUUGGUUUGGAGUUCUUUUAGAAGGCUCUAGGAGGGUAUCUUAUAAUCCAUCAUUGUAAUUUUUCUUUUCUGGUCCUUAAUAAUAUUUCUUUCUACUGAAAAAAGAAUAACUAGUAGGUUUGGUCGAAGACAAAACCAAGUGUGUGUACCUAUCUAAUCUAAAUGAAGACAAGCCCUUGUUGGCCUUUUGUUUUUUCAGAGGCCUUACAUAGGGCUUCCAACUUCUCGGACUGGACUAGGACCAGAAGUAUUAACAAGGAAUGCAGUGCCACUGCAUUCGACUACGCGGCCAAAUACAAGUUCUUAGUUACAUACAACUUAAGGAAGAACCUAUAACUUCCGUAAAUCUGUAGAAAAAUAAAUAUCCAUUGAUGAGGUUUUAAUUUUAUAAGUCAAAUUUAUGGCAAACUAACUCGACUUAUUUCACCAGGAGCCAAGAAGUCGGUGGCAUCUAUUCUCAUAACUGGAGGGGUUACCAGGGCAAACAGAAAAGUCAGCUAUUUAUUUUAGAAAUGUACAAAUACACGCAGAAUGAUACUCACAGGUAUGGACUUCAAGGCCUUUCCACCAAACCCUCCUCCCACUCUCCUUGUAAUCACCCGAACAUUAUGUUCAGGAACACCAAGACAUCUAGCAAUUGUCGUCUGUACAAAUUGAGGAGAUUGAGUUGAACUACAAACCACUAUACAGUUAUCUUCAUCUGGUACAGCAAGGGCAGUUUGUGUUUCCAUAUAGAAAUAAUAUUGUGAACCAAGUCUGAUCUGGAAAAGAUAAACCAGCCAAACAUGAGGACGAACUUGCAAAACAUGAAAACAAGUUCGUACGAAAAAAAAGGGAUAUAGAUGAUCAAGAAAUGAUAUGAAUGUAAAACCAAUAAAGUCUUGAACAAGCAGUAAAACAAGAGCUAUAUAGUAAAUAUAUUGAAAAACUGAUUGAUCGAAUAUCUCUUUGAAUUAUCUAAUUGUUACUGUUUAUAAAUAGUUGUUACCGGACCAAGAGACUACCCAGAAGAGAGCUGAAAGAAGGCUGAGGUUUAAAGAGAAGAGACCCUAGAAAAGAAGACCUGAAAUCUAGAGCUAAAGAGACAGAUUGAAUGCUGAACUACCUCGGCAGAAAUAAUUUUGUGGUCAGCUUCAGCCAUUCCUUUCGAUAAAUCACCAACCUGUCUCGGUUGAAAGAAAGGAAGGACCUCAAAAAAGCUAGACUUCAUAACAGCCUCCUCAACAGAUAAUAUAG
rnacentral:lncRNA from 1 species